rnacentral:rRNA from 1 species
GACGAACGCUGGCGGCGUGCUUAACACAUGCAAGUCGAACGGAAAGGCCCUGCUUUUGUGGGGUGCUCGAUUGGCGAACGGGUGAGUAACACGUGAGUAACCUGCCCUUGACUUUGGGAUAACUUCAGGAAACUGGGGCUAAUACCGUAUAGGAGCUCCUGCUGCAUGGUGGGGGUUGGAAAGUUUCGGCGGUUGGGGAUGGACUCGCGGCUUAUCAGCUUGUUGGUGGGGUAGUGGCUUACCAAGGCUUUGACGGGUAGCCGGCCUGAGAGGGUGACCGGCCACAUUGGGACUGAGAUACGGCCCAGACUCCUACGGGAGGCAGCAGUGGGGAGUAUUGCACAGUGGGCGGAAGCCUGAUGCAGCAACGCCGCGUGCGGGAUGACGGCCUUCGGGUUGUAAACCGCUUUCGCCUGUGACGAAGCGUGAGUGACGGUAAUGGGUAAAGAAGCACCGGCUAACUACGUG